rnacentral:tRNA from 1 species
GCGGGUGUAGCUCAGUUGGUUAGAGCGCCAGAUUGUGGCUCUGGAGGUCGCCAGUUCGAGACUGGUCAUUCGCCCCA